GUAGCAUCUCACCACAGGCUGUUUGGUGAUGUCGACCAGGUCCUUGAUGUUGUAAUACCAGGUGUAUAUAGUAGUAUAUAGUAGUAUACAGUAGUAUACAGUAGUAUAUAGUAGUAUAUAGUAGUAUAUAGUAGUAUACAGUAGUAUAUAGUAGUAUAUAGUAGUAUACAGUAGUAUAUAGUAGUAUAUAGUAGUAUAUAGUAGUAUAUAGUAGUAUACAGUAGUAUAUAGUAGUAUACAGUAGUAUAUAGUAGUAUAUAGUAGCAUCUCACCACAGGCUGUUUGGUGAUGUCGACCAGGUCCUUGAUGUUGUAAUAUUGAUGCUUCUCAAAAGCUGAGAACAGCAUGUCCAACACCUGCUGUUUGUCGACCCUCGCUCUUUUACCUUCCUCCUUCUUCUUCCUGUCGUACUCCAGCUGGACGGA